GAUGAACGCUAGCUACAGGCUUAACACAUGCAAGUCGAGGGGCAGCGCAGUGUAGCAAUACAUGGGCGGCGACCGGCGCACGGGUGCGUAACGCGUAUCCAACCUUCCCGUUACUCAGGGAUAGCCUUCCGAAAGGGAGAUUAAUACCUGAUGGUGUUCAAAUUCCGCAUGUUAUUUGAACUAAAGAUUUAUCGGUAACGGAUGGGGAUGCGUGACAUUAGGUAGAUGGCGGGGUAACGGCCCACAUGCCUACGAUGUCUAGGGGUUCUGAGAGGAAGGUCCCCCCANACUGGAACUGAGACACGGUCCAGACUCCUACGGGAGGCAGCAGUGAGGAAUAUUGGUCAAUGGUCGGAAGACUGAACCAGCCAAGUAGCGUGAAGGAUGAAGGUUCUAUGGAUUGUAAACUUCUUUUAUACGGGAAUAAAACCACCUACGUGUAGGUGCUUGUAUGUACCGUAUGAAUAAGCAUCGGCUAAACUCCGUGCCAGCAGCCGCGGU
rnacentral:rRNA from 1 species